GAAGAAAGCGGGGGGCGUGCCUAAUACAUGCAAGUAGAACGCUGAAGAGAGGAGCUUGCUCUUCUUGGAUGAGUUGCGAACGGGUGAGUAACGCGUAGGUAACCUGCCUUGUAGCGGGGGAUAACUAUUGGAAACGAUAGCUAAUACCGCAUAACAAUGGAUGACACAUGUCAUUUAUUUGAAAGGGGCAAUUGCUCCACUACAAGAUGGACCUGCGUUGUAUUAGCUAGUAGGUGAGGUAAUGGCUCACCUAGGCGACGAUACAUAGCCGACCUGAGAGGGUGAUCGGCCACACUGGGACUGAGACACGGCCCAGACUCCUACGGGAGGCAGCAGUAGGGAAUCUUCGGCAAUGGGGGCAACCCUGACCGAGCAACGCCGCGUGAGUGAAGAAGGUUUUCGGAUCGUAAAGCUCUGUUGUAAGUCAAGAACGGGUGUGAGAGUGGAAAGUUCACACUGUGACGGUAGCUUACCAGAAAGGGACGGCUAACUACGUG
rnacentral:rRNA from 1 species